rnacentral:lncRNA from 1 species
UCUAUUAAUUUUUUAUAUAUAUUUUAAAAUUACUUUUUUUAGGAAAACAUUUGAUUAUUGGCAUACAAAAUUAUCACUUUGUCAUCAUUAAGCAAUGAAACACAACAGCACUAAAUUUUUACUGCAGUUUAUGUAAUAAUUCGAAUAUAAGUUGCGCAAACAUCGUUAUGUAUUACACCAUAAAUAAUUAUUUUGGUCAGACCGCUGGAUAUGAAUCAUAUCAAAUGUAAAAUCCAUAAAUUG